rnacentral:rRNA from 1 species
CCUACGGGUGACAGCAGUGAGGAAUAUUGGUCAAUGGACGAGAGUCUGAACCAGCCAUGCCGCGUGCAGGAAGACGGCUCUAUGAGUUGUAAACUGCUUUUGUACGAGGGUAAACUCAGAUACGCGUAUCUGUCUGAAAGUAUCGUACGAAUAAGGAUCGGCUAACUCCGUGCCAGCAGCCGCGGUAAUACGGAGGAUUCAAGCGUUAUCCGGAUUUAUUGGGUUUAAAGGGUGCGUAGGCGGUCGGAUAAGUUAGAGGUGAAAUCCCGAGGCUCAACUUCGGAAUUGCCUCUGAUACUGUUAGGCUAGAGAGUAGUUGCGGUAGGCGGAAUGUAUGGUGUAGCGGUGAAAUGCUUAGAGAUCAUACAGAACACCGAUUGCGAAGGCAGCUUACCAAGCUACGUCUGACGUUGAGGCACGAAAGCGUGGGGAGCAAACAGGAUUAGAUACCCUGGUAGUC